GUAGUCCACGCUGUAAACGUUGGGCGCUAGGUGUGGGGGGCCUCUCCGGUUCUCUGUGCCGCAGCUAACGCAUUAAGCGCCCCGCCUGGGGAGUACGGCCGCAAGGCUAAAACUCAAAGGAAUUGACGGGGGCCCGCACAAGCGGCGGAGCAUGCGGAUUAAUUCGAUGCAACGCGAAGAACUUUACCUGGGUUUGACAUGGCCGCAAAACUCGCAGAGAUGUGGGGUCCUUCGGGGGCGGUCACAGGUGGUGCAUGGCUGUCGUCAGCUCGUGUCGCGAGAUGUUGGGUUAAGUCCCGUAACGAGCGCAACCCUUGUCCGAUGUUGCCAGCGGGUUAUGCCGGGGACUCAUCGGAGACUGCCGGGGUCAACUCGGAGGAAGGUGGGGAUGACGUCAAGUCAUCAUGCCCCUUAUGUCCAGGGCUUCACGCAUGCUACAAUGGCCGGUACAAAGGGCUGCGAUACCGUGAGGUGGAGCGAAUCCCAAAAAGCCGGUCUCAGUUCGGAUCGGGGUCUGCAACUCGACCCCGUGAAGUCGGAGUCGCUAGUAAUCGCAGAUCAGCAACGCUGCGGUGAAUACGUUCCCGGGCCUUGUACACACCGCCCGUCACGUCACGAAAGUCGGCAACACCCGAAGCCGGUGGCCCAACCCGUAAGGGAGGGAGCCGUCGAAGGUGGGGCUGGCGAUUGGGACG
rnacentral:rRNA from 1 species